UGCACCCAUAGCUCAAUUGGAUAGAGUACUUGACUACGAAUCAAGCGGUUAGAGGUUCGACUCCUCUUGGGUGCGU
rnacentral:tRNA from 2 species